GAUCACAGCUCACUGCAACCUCGACCUCC
rnacentral:piRNA from 1 species